rnacentral:rRNA from 1 species
AUGAACCCCUCCUCAGCCCCAGGUCCGGAUGGAUUGUCCUUGACGUUUUUCAAAACUUUCUGGCAGACCAUCAAACCGGAGGUCAUGGCCCUCUUCGAUGAAUUCUACUCGGGGACUAUGGACCUUGGGCGCCUGAACUAUGGGGUCAUCACUCUCAUCCCCAAAGUUCGAGGCGCUUAUAACAUCCGCCAGUUUCGGCCUAUCACUGUGAUCAAUGUGAUAUUCCGGAUCCUGGCCAAAGGGUACGCCAAUAGGGUGACCCUUCUUGCUGACACCGUCACCCACUCCAACCAAUCCACCUUCAUUCAAGGG